GAGGCGGGGCCACCCCUCCUCCCGGACGAGGGGUGCCGUACCCGGUGUGCGACAAGACGGCCCGUG
rnacentral:ncRNA from 1 species